UAGAGUUUGAUCCUGGCUCAGGAUGAACGCCGGCGGUGUGCCUAAUACAUGCAAGUCGUACGCACUGGCCCAACUGAUUGAUGGUGCUUGCACCUGAUUGACGAUGGAUCACCAGUGAGUGGCGGACGGGUGAGUAACACGUAGGUAACCUGCCCCGGAGCGGGGGAUAACAUUUGGAAACAGAUGCUAAUACCGCAUAACAACAAAAGCCACAUGGCUUUUGUUUGAAAGAUGGCUUUGGCUAUCACUCUGGGAUGGACCUGCGGUGCAUUAGCUAGUUGGUAAGGUAACGGCUUACCAAGGCGAUGAUGCAUAGCCGAGUUGAGAGACUGAUCGGCCACAAUGGAACUGAGACACGGUCCAUACUCCUACGGGAGGCAGCAGUAGGGAAUCUUCCACAAUGGGCGCAAGCCUGAUGGAGCAACACCGCGUGAGUGAAGAAGGGUUUCGGCUCGUAAAGCUCUGUUGUUGGAGAAGAACGUGCGUGAGAGUAACUGUUCACGCAGUGACGUAUCCACCGAAUGCGAU
rnacentral:rRNA from 2 species